rnacentral:rRNA from 1 species
UACGGAGGGUGCAAGCGUUGUCCGGAUUCACUGGGCGUAAAGGGCGCGUAGGCGGCUCAUGAAGGCUGUGGUGAAAGUCCGGGGCUCAACCUCGGAUCGGCCGUGGCGACUCGUGGGCUGGAGCACUGUAGAGGCGGGUGGAAUUCCGGGUGUAGCGGUGGAAUGCGUAGAGAUCCGGAAGAACACCAGUGGCGAAGGCGGCCCGCUGGGCAGUGGCUGACGCUGAGGCGCGACAGCGUGGGGAGCAAACAGG